GACGAACGCUGGCGGCGUGCUUAACACAUGCAAGUCGAACGGAAAGGCCCUGCUUGUAGGGUGCUCGCGUGGCGAACGGGUGAGUAACACGUGGGUGAUUUGCCCCUUACUUUGGGAUAAGCCUGGGAAACUGGGCCUAAUACUGGAUAGGUCCAUGAUGUAGGCGGUGUGGUGGAUAGAUUUUUGCGGUAAGGGUUGAGCUCGCGGCCUAUCCCCUUGUUGGUGGGGUAAUGGCCUACCAAGGGGUCGACGGGUAGCCGACCUGAGAGGGUGGACGGCCACAUUGGGACUGAGAUACGGCCCAGACUCCUACGGGAGGCAGCAGUGGGGAAUAUUGCACAAUGGGCGCAAGCCUGAUGCAGCGACGCCGCGUGGGGGAUGACGGCCUUCGGGUUGUAAACCUCUUUCAGUAGAGAAGAAGCGAAAGUGACGGUACCUGCAGAAGAAGCACCGGCUAACUACGUG
rnacentral:rRNA from 1 species